AUAAUCAAAAAUAAAAUAAAAUUCAAUUUCACGAAACUAGGUGAGCUAAUUUAUAUUUAAUAUUAGUAAUGUAGUUAACGUAGUACUGAUUAAAUUUAUUAUUAUAAUUUAGAGGUGAUAGGCCUAACAAAUCUAGUGAUAUCUUGUUGAUUAGGAAAUAUAUAUAGUAUAUUUUUCAAUAUAAAAAUGGUGAGGUUUUUAUAGUGUUCAAUUUUGGUUAAAAUUAAUUUGGAUGCUUUAAAAAACACCAACCAUAUAUUUAUUAUCAUUAUUUACCUUAUGUUGUACAAAUUACUAAUUUUUAUUAGUUACCUGACACUAGUAUAGAAAAUGAUUACAUUAGUAUUUUUAUUAAUUAUAGGUUAGGAACUCGGCAAAUAUUAUUUUCGACUGUUUAUCAAAAACAUAGCCUUAAGAAUUCUUUUAAGGUAAAACCUGCUCAAUGAUAUUUUAAAUAGCCGCAGUACCUUGACUGUGCAAAGGUAGCAUAAUCAAUUGGCUUAUAAUUGAAGUCUAGUAUGAAUGGGAAUACGGAAAUUAGCUGUCUUAUAUAUAAAUAUAGAAGUUACUUAUUAAGUGAAAAUUCUUAAAGUUAGACAAAAGACGAGAAGACCCUAGAAAUUUUUUAUAGUAAUUUUGUUGGGGCGACAGGGUAACAUAUAACUUACCUUAUAUAAUAUGAAACUUUUAUGUGGUGAAAUAAAAUUACUCUAGGGAUAACAGCAUAAUAUUUAAAAGUUUGUGACCUCGAUGUUGGACUAGGAAAAAUUAUACUUAAAAGGUAUAAUUAUAGGCUCUGUUCGAGCUAUGAUUCCUACAUGAUCUGAGUUCAGACCGG
rnacentral:rRNA from 1 species